AGGGAGAGGACGUAACUCAUCUGCUUCACUGCCCGCAAGACCCCCGCCUGACCUGACCUGCCAAAGUGCAGACAGGUUGAUAGCCAAUACAGAAAGAUUAUUGGAAAAUAAUAUUCUAAUUGAUGACGAAAACACAGAGUCAAAUAAAAAAAAAAAACAACCAACCAAAAAUACUAGGAACAAAGUUCUGUGUUUCCAAAAGAAAGUGAAGACUCGGAGGACGAAUUGAUAAACUUGGACAGAAGCCACAGUUGAAGAGGAGUUUGUUACACUUACCCUGCAUCCAGUACAGCUUGGGGGUCAAAACAAUAUUUCGGACAUGUAGAGUGAC